GUUAAGGGUGUAAAUUGUUGUAGGGGGCGCUGCAUUCUCAACUUUCUUCCCAAAACUUUGGAAAUAGGCUACGGAGACAGAUCGGAGCACAGCCUGCAGUAAUGAUUCCGGUGAGGGGGCGUGAUCCGGUAAACGUGGGCAUGCUGGAUUUUAAGAGCAGUUCUGCCUUAUAACUGCUCACAACAUCACUGUUCUCUGCAGACGCUCGUUUGGUCCAGAACCGCGAGGACGAGAAAUUAUCCGAAAACCAGCUGAGUGAAAGAACCUUUCCAAAAUGAAAAUCGACGACGUUAGACCAGCGGUACUGACAGUGGAUAAUGGAAAGUGUGUGUGCAUUGAGAGAAAGCGAAAGUCCUCUCCAUCCCAUCAGCUGGUCUUGGAUCAUCGAACGGAAAAAGUCAAGGUGUAUUAUUUUCGUAAUGGAGCCAACAAAUUCAUGGCGUUUUGUUUUGAGCAUGGAGAAUACUCCAUUUUCCCUGUAACUGAUGGUACAGAGGUAAAACUUAAGGUAUUACCAAAACAGGACUUCAAGGAAGAUAUCUUUAACGAAACGUUCUUAUUUCAAUGGGUAGACAGUGGAACUAAUGACUGGCGGAGCUUGAAAUCAGUGGCUGAACCCAACAUGUACCUGUUUGUUGAAAAAGUAACAGAAAAAGACAAAGAAAAAGUGACCAUUAAUCCAGUUGGGAAGCCAAAUUUUAGAAUCAUUGAAGACAAAGGUAUUUUGUCAAUUGAUUUAGAAUCCAAGAACACGGGAACUCAAUACGACACGCCUUCUGUGUCAGUCAAGACUCGAUCCCGUGACUUGACUCUACUAAAUCAACGUGCCAACUCAACAGAUUUUCUGAGGUCUGGGAAUCGAAGGGGACCCAAGUACGCGAGAACUCCAUACAACAGGUCUCCUGGGUCAGUCAGGACUCGAUCCAGAGACUCGACACUAAAUCAAUCAUCGGCACGACUCAAAAGGAAAACCAAAGAAGAUUAAGAUGUCAGUGAAGAGCUGAAUCUGAGAGCAAAUGGAGGGGCAUUUUUGUCCAUUUCUUUGCAUGUUUGCCUUUUUGUCGUGACCUAGAAAUAUUACUGACAUGCCGUUUUUAGGUGUAAAAUCAGUUCUUACUAUAAAAACGCAACAGGCUCUGUGUAGUUUGGCACAUUAUUAUUGUCAGUUAUACUUGAUCAUAAUUACAUGGCUUAUCAAAAUGAUCUGUUUUAAUAAGCCAUUAAAAGACAAUGCAUAUAGGAACCUAACCUUUUAACAUCAUUUCCUGCAUUGAUAAAAUCAAAUGCAUUUCUUACUGGUAGUCGAUUCAUUUCCUGAAAUAUUUGCCUGUUCAGACCUUAGACUUCUGAGCACACUAUGCUUCGUAUUAUUGCGUAAGGCUGACAUGAGGUUAAGGUCCACAAUUGGAUCCAGUAGGGAUCAAACUAGAAAAGAUACUGCUCAGAAUUACAUGACUAUCAAGAACUACAUUUCUUGUUAGAAUUUUCUGUGUACAAACUAUUCAUACUAUUGAUACUAUAAAAUAACAUAGAAUAGCCAUUACCCAUAUAAUGCAUUUACUUCAUGCACUUAUUAGUUGCAGCUUUCCUUAUGUAGUGGCAAGGGAGGGACUGCUGGAUGACAAAAUAACCUUAUAACAGUCACACAUUAUACCGUAAAAUACAUGAUAUAGUGCAUAUAGUAGUAACAGUGAGUAGUCUAUAUAGUAUGUCAUUUGGGACGGAAAGUGGAGAGUCAGUAAAAACUCAGUCAAGAGCGACCACUUGUGGUGAAGUGGUUGAACUGCAGACUCAGAUGACAUGUAAUGUCAUUUGUUCAAUUCUGCUCAACUAUGAGGCAUAGAAGAUGAGCGUGUGUAAGAUCAGCAUAUGAGGAUGACUUUUAUCACUAAUGUGCUUUGUACUAGAGUUGGUAUAUAGCCUGUUACAUCUGAUAUGCGUCGUUUUUCUAGUAGUGAUCUGCACAUGUAUAUUCUUGUAUUUAUUAACCAUGUAAUGUGAAAGCAUGAUAAAUGUGAAAUAACUUUAACUGUAAUCAGCUCGCUAUGCAAGCUUACCUUUACCUUACUUUUAAAUUCACAUUUUCAGUAUUCUCGAGAUAGAGAGAUUAUGUUUUUAUAUUGAUGAACUUCCAUAAGGCAAAAAAACAAACAAAACAAGACAAAACAAAAAACAACCACAAAUGAACUGACUGAUGAUCUUGUUGAAAUGUUUCUAAGUGAAAUACAGCUAAAUACAGUAUUAUCUUCUGUAUUAAAAAUGCAUAGUUUAAAAUUAAGCACAUCAUCCUGGAUAGUGUUCAACUGAUAUUGCAAUCUGUUAAUGUGCUGUUUUACUACCAAAUAAACAUAUAUUUUCAAGUGUC